CAAUAGCGUAUAUUAAAGUUGUUGCAGUUAAAAAGCUCGUAGUUGGAUUUCUGGUGGGAGCGAUCGGUCUGGCGCUUAGCGCGAGUACUUGCAUCGUCUCCGGCCAUCCUUGGGGAGAGUCUGUCUGGCAUUAAGUUGUCGGGCAGAGGAUCCUCAUCGUUUACUGUGAAAAAAUUAGAGUGUUCAAAGCAGGCUUAUGCCGUUGAAUAUAUUAGCAUGGAAUAAUAAGAUAGGACUUUGGUACUAUUUUGUUGGUUUGCGCACCAAAGUAAUGAUUAAUAGGGACAGUUGGGGGUAUUCGUAUUCCGUUGUCAGAGGUGAAAUUCUUGGAUUUACGGAAGACGAACUACUACGAAAGCAUUUACCAAGGAUGUUUUCAUUAA
rnacentral:rRNA from 1 species